ACGGAAGGCAGCAGUGGGGAAUAUUGCACAAUGGGGGAAACCCUGAUGCAGCGACGCCGCGUGAGUGAAGAAGUAUUUCGGUAUGUAAAGCUCUAUCAGCAGGGAAGAAAAUGACGGUACCUGACUAAGAAGCCCCGGCUAACUACGUGCCAGCAGCCGCGGUAAUACGUAGGGGGCAAGCGUUAUCCGGAUUUACUGGGUGUAAAGGGAGCGUAGACGGCAGGGCAAGUCUGAAGUGAAAGCCCGGGGCUCAACUCCGGGACUGCUUUGGAAACUGCUCAGCUAGAGUGCAGGAGGGGCAAGCGGAAUUCCUAGUGUAGCGGUGAAAUGCGUAGAUAUUAGGAGGAACACCGGUGGCGAAGGCGGCUUGCUGGACUGUAACUGACGUUGAGGCUCGAAAGCGUGGGGAGCAAACAGGAUUAGAUACCCUGGUA
rnacentral:rRNA from 1 species